GUGCCAGCCGCCGCGGUAAUACGUAGGUGGCGAGCGUUGUCCGGAUUUAUUGGGUUUAAAGGGUGCGUAGGCGGUCCUAUAAGUCAGUGCUGAAAUAUCCCGGCUUAACCGGGAGGGUGGCAUUGAUACUGCAGGACUUGAGUAAAGUUGAGGUAGGCGGAAUUGACGGUGUAGCGGUGAAAUGCUUAGAUAUCGUCAAGAACACCGAUAGUGCAGACAGCUUACUAAGCUUUAACUGACGCUGAGGCACGAAAGUGUGGGGAUCAAACAGGAUUAGAUACCCUUGUAGUCC
rnacentral:rRNA from 1 species